rnacentral:rRNA from 1 species
AUUGAACGCUGGCGGCAGGCCUAACACAUGCAAGUCGAGCGGAUGAAGGGAGCUUGCUCCUGGAUUCAGCGGCGGACGGGUGAGUAAUGCCUAGGAAUCUGCCUGGUAGUGGGGGAUAACGUCCGGAGACGGGCGCUAAUACCGCAUACGUCCUGAGGGAGAAAGUGGGGGAUCUUCGGACCUCACGCUAUCAGAUGAGCCUAGGUCGGAUUAGCUAGUUGGUGGGGUAAAGGCCUACCAAGGCGACGAUCCGUAACUGGUCUGAGAGGAUGAUCAGUCAACCGGGACCUGGGAACGGGCCCAGAUCCUUAGGGGAGGCACAAGGGGGAAUAUUGGACAAUGGGCGAAAGCCUGAUCCAGCCAUGCCGCGUGUGUGAAGAAGGUCUUCGGAUUGUAAAGCACUUUAAGUUGGGAGGAAGGGCAGUAAGUUAAUACCUUGCUGUUUUGACGUUACCAACAGAAUAAGCACCGGCUAACUUCGUG